AAACAAAGUGCUUUCCCUUGGCCUGGGUUGCUUGGAUCCCCAGUGGAAAGAUGCUGUAGAAGAACCUCUUCUGCAAGACCAUUCAUUCAUGCCUUGAGACAGUAUGAAUCAAGCUGACUUUUUUUUUUUCCAAGGAGUUUUUAAAGACCAUCAAGCUUCAGACCAUCAUGCAGCAAGGGCUCUAGCCAGUUCCAGGUGAAGACCCCACCCCGGGCCAUCAAGGAGCUUCCCUGCCUCCACUAGACAGAGCAGAGUGAGAGUUCCAUGAUCCCCAAUAGGUAGGGGCUAUGCCUCAAGCCAGCAUGAAGCAGUUACAGAAAAAAAGACCAUCAGUUCCUCUGCCUCCCAUGGGGAUCACAUCUUUCAGCAGGGAGAUGAGGCAUAAAAACAAGGUCUGGAGGCAGGGAAUUCAAGGCCGAUUCACACUUCAGCUAUGACAGGAAAUAUCCUCUCCAUAGGGUAUAGGCCAAGUAAAUGACUUUGUAACUUUACUCCUCAUUUUCAUAGGUUGCACCCCAAGUAAGCAAUGGAAUCCUCUAGAGGGUAUUUCCCCAAAAUUCUGUAAUGGGGUCCUUGAGCCCCUAUGCUCGGGCCCACUCCCACACUGUGGAGUGUACUUUCAUUUUCAAUAAAUCCCUCAUUUCUUCCUUGCUCUGUUUGUGCAUUUUGUCCAAUUCUUUGUUCAAGACGCCAAGAACCUGGACACCCUCCACCGGUGACAAUGGCAGAAGGUGAAGGGGAAGCAAGCACAUCUUACCAUGGCGGAUCAGGA
rnacentral:lncRNA from 10 species